rnacentral:rRNA from 1 species
GUGGGGAAUAUUGCGCAAUGGGGGCAACCCUGAUGGUGCAACGCCGCGUGGAGGAUGAAGGUCUUCGGAUUGUAAACUCCUGUCAUCCGGGAGCAAGACCUGGCCGUGAAUAGCGGACAGGGUUGAUAGUACCGGAAGAGGAAGGGACGGCUAACUUCGUGCCAGCAGCCGCGGUAAUACGAAGGUCCCGAGCGUUGUUCGGAAUCACUGGGCGUAAAGGGAGCGUAGGCGGCGCGGUAAGUCAGAUGUGAAAUCCUAGGGCUCAACCCUGGAACGGCAUCCGAUACUGCUGUGCUUGAGCAAUGGAGAGGUAGCCGGAAUUCUCGGUGUAGCAGUGAAAUGCGUAGAUAUCGAGAGGAACACUCGUGGCGAAAGCGGGCUACUGGACAUUUGCUGACGCUGAGGCUCGAAGGCCGGGGGAGCGAAAGGGAUUAGAAACCCGGGUAGUCC